UUGUCUAAAUACAUCCAUCGUUUAUUUAGAUAAUCAUGGUAAGACCUUAAGUACAGACUACAUUAUUUACACUUCAUAUAUUCUUUUUGCAAUCAGUACAAAUUGUAUGGUCUUUUAUUUCAGAUGAAUCCAUUCCACAAGCAAGAAAGCAUUUCAGGACAGAGCCCAUGAGGACCUCCAUUACCCGCAUGGCACAGCGGAUGGACACAUUUGAGGAAAAGAUGGAUGAGCUGCUCAUGCUCUUAAGGAGCUCCCAGUCACCUCCCUCUGCUCCAGUCGAUGACGUGUUGCUGUCGCCCUGCUCAACAGUCAUCGAGCUGCAGGAGUUCAACAGGAGAGGAGGAACAAAAUGCAACUUUUUCUGACAACCUUUCAACCAAUGACGUUGUAAAACCGUAUAGCCUGCAGGGCAGAAAGACAAAGGCCUUCCAGGGCCUGACAAUCUGCAGGGUUAUAACAGGCAGGUGUUAUUUUAUUGUUCACAUCAGUAUUAUGCGUAGCUUGGCUGAUA